GUGCUCGCUUUGGGGGCACAUAUACUAAGGUUGGAACAGCAUAGAAAUUAGCACGGCCCUUGUGCAAGGGUGACACACAAAUUCGCGAAGUGUUCCAUAUUAAA
ensembl:snRNA U6 U6 spliceosomal RNA